GUGGGUAUAGCUCAGUGGUAGGGCGCAUGCUUAGGAUGCAUGAGAUCCUGGGUUCAAUCUCCAGCAUCUUCA